GUCUACAGCCAUGCUACCCUGAACAUGCCCGAUUCCAUCUGAUCUCAGAAGCUAAGCAGGGUCGGGCCUGGUUAAGUACUUGGAUGGGAGACCACUUAGGAAUACCAGGUGCUGUAGGCG
rnacentral:rRNA from 1 species